GUUAUGCUACUAGUAUAAAUAGUUAUAAUUUUUAUAAAUAGUUAUAAUUUUUAAGAAAAUAAAAAUAGAGAGCUAUAAUAUAAAGUAAAUUAAGUUAAAAAAGAUAAUAGUAAACUACAUUAUACACUACAAUAUAUAAACAAUUAAGAAAGAAAGAGAUUAAAAUAGUCCAUAAUUAAAUAUAAAAUAUAUAGGAUUUUUUUAGGUGAGCGAACAGAAAAUUUAUACUUAAACAUAAAAUACAAGUUAAUUAAUACUUAAAAUAGAAAAUAUAAGAUUUUCUAUUUGAAUUUAUAAUAAUUCGCGAAUAAUUUGGCUAGCCCAAAAAAUUUGCGUUUUAUUCCCUUUUCUGAAAAAAAAAAAAAAAACAUACGGACUGUUUCAUUCGGAUUUUCAAU
rnacentral:lncRNA from 1 species